GCCCCCUGGGGAUCGUGUUAAAAUGCAGAUUCUGAUCCAAUAGCUUGGCACAGAUUUUGCAUUUCUAACAAGCUCCCAGGUGAUGCUAA
rnacentral:pre_miRNA from 1 species